ACGCGCACGGGUGAGUAACACGUAUCCAACCUGCCCUUUACUCGGGGAUAGCCUUUCGAAAGAAAGAUUAAUACCCGAUAGCAUAAUGAUUCCGCAUGGUUUCAUUAUUAAAGGAUUCCGGUAAAGGAUGGGGAUGCGUUCCAUUAGGUUGUUGGUGAGGUAACGGCUCACCAAGCCUUCGAUGGAUAGGGGUUCUGAGAGGAAGGUCCCCCACAUUGGAACUGAGACACGGUCCAA
rnacentral:rRNA from 1 species